rnacentral:misc_RNA from 1 species
AAGUCGUAACAAGGUUUCCGUAGGUGAACCUGCGGAAGGAUCAUUACACAGUAUUAUCAGGGGGCUGGCUGCAGGUGCGCGCAAGCGUCCGGUGUGCCGCCCCAUCUGGUUCUACCCAUGUUUUUUGCGUACCUCUGUUUCCUCGGCGGGCUCGCCCGCCAGCAGGACAUUAUCAAACUCUUUGCAAUGCAGUCAGCGUCAGAAAAAACUUAAUAGUUACAACUUUCAACAACGGAUCUCUUGGUUCUG